GCAUAAUUAGGGUGAAUUCAGGAUGAUUGGGACACUUUUUGCCAUUGAUAUGACCCUGUAUUUUUAUGUUUAGUUUCAUUUUUUCCCCAUAUCAUUCCCUCUUCUGUCCGUAACUUUAUGAGAAAAGACCUGUCACUGAUUUUAGUAUGAAGACCCAUCAGUUGAGAAGAGAUGAAAUAUAGCUGACAUCACUUCCUCAUGGCAGAAGCACUUGGUGAAAGAAGCCAUGAUGAGCACGUUCCUUAGCGUUUCUGUAUCUAUAAUGAUGUUUACAGCUGCUUGUCUCGGUAAAAAAGUUGUUCAGACGCCAGCAAAACUCAUCAAGAAUCAAGAUGAAUCUGCUGUGCUCACAUGCUCUCAUAAUAUACCGAGCUAUGACCAAAUAUAUUGGUAUAAACAAAGUCAGGACAUGUUGGGCCUCAAGUUGAUGGGAUACCUUAAUUAUGGUACAAAGAAUAAAGAGCCUGAAUUUGAAAACAAGAUCAAAUUGGACGGAGAUGGACAGAAUAAUGGCACUCUGACUAUCCAGAACCUCAUGCUGAAUGACAGUGCAGUGUAUUUCUGUGCAGCAUAUUACACAGUGCUCAGAAUCACAUCUGUCUAAUACAAAAACCUCCUCUUUUAAACGGCUUGUUUCUGUGAUAA